CCUACGGGUGGCUGCAGUGGGGAAUAUUGCACAAUGGACGGAACUCUGAUCCAGCGACGUCGCGUGAGUGAUGACGUCCCUCUGGAUUUUAAGCUUCAUUUAUAGGGAAGUAAAACACGGUACGUGUGCCUUUUUGCCUGGCCAAUUUCGUGCCAGCAGCCGUGGUUACAUGCAGGGGGCAAGCGUUAUCCGGAUUUACUGGGUGUAAAGGGAGCGUAGACGGUUUUGCAAGUCAGUAGUGAAAGCCUAAGGAUCAACCGUGGAACUGCAAUUGAAACUGUAAGACUGGAGUGCAGGCGAGGUAAGCGGAAUUCGUGGUGUAGCGGUGAAAUGCGUAGAUAUUAGGAAGAACACCGAUGGCGAAGGCAGCUUACUAGACUGUGACUGACAUUGAGGCUCGAAGGCGUGGGGAGCAAACAGGAUUAGAUACCCUUGUAGUC
rnacentral:rRNA from 1 species